rnacentral:tRNA from 1 species
UUGUGGCUUAGUUGGUUGAAGCGCCGGUCUAGCGAAUACGGUGUCGUGGGUUCGAAUCUCACCGA